rnacentral:rRNA from 1 species
AGAGUUUGAUCCUGGCUCAGGACGAACGCUGACGGCGUGCUUUAGGCAUGCAAGUCGAACGAGAAAGCCCUUCGGGGUGAGUAAAGUGGCGAACGGGUGAGUAACACGUGGGCAACCUGCCCCUCGCAGGGGGACAACCGGAGGAAACUCCGGCUAAUACCCCGUACGCUUGUUGGAUCGCAUGGUCCGGCAAGGAAAGGUAGCUUCGGCCAUCCGGCGAGGGAUGGGCCCGCGUUGCAUUAGCUAGUUGGUGGGGUAAAGGCUCACCAAGGCGACGAUCAGUAGCUGGUCUGAGAGGACGAUCAGCCACACUGGGACUGAGACACGGCCCAGACUCCUACGGGAGGCAGCAGUGGGGAAUUUUCCACAAUGGGCGAAAGCCUGAUGGAGCGACGCCGCGUGCGGGAGGAAGCCUUUCGGGGUGUAAACCGCUUUUCUCAGGGAUGAAACGGUGGGGUAACCCACCUAAGACAGUACCUGAGGAAUAAGCAUCGGCUAACUACGUGCCAGCAGCCGCGGUAAUACGUAGGAUGCAAGCGUUGUCCGGAUUUACUGGGCGUAAAGCGCGCGCAGGCGGCAGCUUAAGUAAGGUGUGAAAUAUCCCUGCUCAACGGGGAGGGUGCACUUUAGACUGGGCAGCUAGAGGUCGGUAGAGGGUGGUAGAAUUGCUGGUGUAGCGGUGAAAUGCGUAGAGAUCAGCAGGAAUACCCGUGGCGAAGGCGGCCACCUGGGCCGAACCUGACGCUGAGGCGCGAAGGCUAGGGGAGCGAACGGGAUUAGAUACCCUGGUAGUCC